AAUGAACCGUGAAAAUGAGGUCACGAUCAAAUAAAACCUGUGCGACUGACAUAAAGAUCAUAAAAUAUUUCCAUACACCAAAUAUAGCUUGACCUAUGGCAUAUAGUAUUAGAUAGAAACUUGACCACUGAACCAUGAAAAUGAGGUCAAGGUCACAUGACAUCUGCCCGCUAGACAUGUACACCUUACAAUCGUUCCAUACAACAAAUAUAGUAGACCUAUUGCAUAUAGUAUGAGAAAAACAGACCAAAA
rnacentral:lncRNA from 1 species